GGAAGUAAAAGUCGUAACAAGGUUUCCGUAGGUGAACCUGCGGAAGGAUCAUUACUGAUUUGCUUAAUUGCACCACAUGUGUUUUUCUUUGAAACAAACUUGCUUUGGCGGUGGGCCCAGCCUGCCGCAGAGGUCUAAACUUACAACCAAUUUUUUAUCAACUUGUCACACCAGAUUAUUACUAAUAGUCAAAACUUUCAACAACGGAUCUCUUGGUUCUCGCAUCGAUGAAGAACGCAGCGAAAUGCGAUACGAAUAUGAAUUGCAGAUAUUCGUGAAUCAUCGAAUCUUUGAACGCACAUUGCGCCCUCUGGUAUUCCGGAGGGCAUGCCUGUUUGAGCGUCGUUUCUCCCUCAAACCGCUGGGUUUGGUGUUGAGCAAACGACUUGGGUUUGCUUGAAAGACGGUAGUGGUAAGGCGGGAUCGCUUUGACAAUGGCUUAGGUCUAACCAAAAACAUUGCUUGCGGCGGUAACGUCCACCACGUAUAUCUUCAAACUUUGACCUCAAUCAGGUAGGACUACCCGCUGAACUUAAGCAUAUCAAUAAGCGGAGGA
rnacentral:rRNA from 1 species